rnacentral:lncRNA from 1 species
AUCUCGUUUAUGAUGAAAGGUGAGAAUUUUACCAAUGGGUGAUGAAGAAACAUGCUUUACCAUAUCCUCUAAUCAGUUCUGGAGAUAUUGCUAUGCUCCAAAAGGAAGCUCCUGUCCUGGGCUACAACUUACUGGCACAUCCAGUUGAUGGUAAGCAUUAUUCAGUAAUGUUUACAGGGCAUAAUAUUUAGAUAGAUGGAUAAAUCUAAUUGUCACCACUCACCAAGUAUAGUCUUGUGAUUCUUCAAAAGCCAAAUGAUCUUUUCUGUGACCUUUGAAGCUCAGUUCCUGUCUUCGCAUCUCAGUUCAACGCUUAUGCGCUGAUCUACAUUGAUUACAGUUUUACUUGAUGAAUUAUAUUUGCAGUGUGAUCAAAAUAUAGAUAUAAUCAUACUGUUUGUGAUUUGUCUUCCUUCCUCAAAUAUGGAUCCUUGCAAAUACUUGGUCAUUAGAUGUUGUCUCUAUAGUUAUUUUUCUGUUCGAUGGAAUAAUUAGGGUACUAAAACAUUGAUUUCACUUAAAAUCCCUUGGCAUCUAUUUCCAUUCUGCCACAUCCAUUAACCGACUGCCGUAUAUUACAAUUGCACAAGGUUAGGGGUAUGCCUCAUCAAAUCGAGUUACGAAAUGCAGGGCAGGGUGACAGGAACCAACUGAAACAACUAAUAAAAACAUGACCAGUUUAGAACCUACUGACACCAUGGUAUUAACACAAGUACUUAUUACCAUUGUUGCACCUAUGCAUGCUUUUAAGUAUUAACCUCAACAUAUGUUUUGACCCUUCUACAGAACUGAUACUACAGACUCACGAUUAAAAUCGCUGUGGUAAAUCGACCUAUGACUGGUGGUAUAUGGGAUGCAAAGUUUGCUGGAAGAAGCUGAAAAUGGCGCAUUGAAAUGUCCUACAUGUUCCAAUCCAGAACCAUGACCAAGGUAUUUUUUACCCAUGUUACAUCUCAAUUGGUAACUGUGUCACAAGCAAACAAUUCACCACAAUUCCAUCAUGUAAAUAGGUACAAAAUAGCAGUGCUUGCAAUAGACAUGGAACAUGAGGAGGAACCAAACCCAGUAUUCACAGAGUUUGCCUUUUUUAGAGCAUGAGGUGUUAUAAUCACUGGAAGAAGCGCAAACUCGGCUGUAGCUCAUGGAAAAGGACGAGUUGGUUACCUGGCACUGGAAAUAGAGGAACUUUCUGGAACAAAAAUAUUGUGAGCGGUCACUCCAAAUAGUAGAUCCCUGGGCUGAUUUUUAUUAGUAUUUCCAAGUGCAAGCAACAGAUCAUGUGCAAAGUGAGGCACCAUUAACUCGGCAUCGAAUGGUUAAUCCGCCAUCUGCAUCGGACGUUCCACGGUCUUCGUGUUCCACCCAACACCAGGCAACACAACUGUCAAGAAUGUGCUGCCGGCUCCAGCAUCUCCUGACUACUGUAUGAGGGUGUGUCAUUGGAACCAAAAACAAAAAGGCAAGCAGUCCGACGAUCCACCCAUGGGCCAAGCAAAAGAAAAGGUCAGCACGAUUUUAUUGCAGCAAAUUAAAGAAUGGCUGAAUGUUCAGACCAAUGAUACAAUAUUGUUUAACUAUAUGUAGAUGUGCCGCUAAAGAGUCUUUUCCUUUAAAGAGCCACGAGGAAGAGGAAGCUAAUCUUUAGAAGUAGAACAUGUCAGAAGCCUACCGUGUCAAAAUAAUCAUAGGUGCUACUGUUUGUUCAUCGUCUAAGCGUUCUUUCCUUUUGAACUAAGUACCUUGUGGUUUCAUAGCUUUUGAAUUGAUGUCCUUUCAGCUGUAAUGAUAUCCAUCUGCUCACGUAUCAACUUAGUACAUCUAUUAUUCAUCCACUAGCACAUAUGCCUGUGCGUUGCAACGGGAGAUAAUUAGUAUGCAUUUAAAGUCAGUGGGAAUUAUAUGUGCAAGCAAAAUCCUGUGUGCACAUGAAAAACGAACAUUUAGCUUCUCGGUUUCGCCGUGUCUGAAGGAAUCAAUCCACUUUUUUUAUAUUCAUUCAUUGAGGGUAUUUAAGAGUUUUGUUACGUCAUCGUAUGCCACAGAAGGCCCAUGAGUUAUUUAAUCCACCCUUCCUUUCAAUCGAGGAUUUUAACGUAUGAAACUUCUAAAUAUUCUAGGAAACAUAAACAAUUUUUUCAAUCCCGAAGAGUUUUUUGAAAAUUAUGUACACUUUUGAAAAAACACGAACGAAAUAUGAAAGGGAACAUUUUUUAAAAUUCACAAACAUUUUCUGAAAACACCAACUUUUUNNNNNNNNNNNNNNNNNNNNNNNNNNNNNNNNNNNNNNNNNNNNNNNNNNNNNNNNNNNNNNNNNNNNNNNNNNNNNNNNNNNNNNNNNNNNNNNNNNNNUUUCAGUAGUACACAUGGAUUCAAAUAUUUCAAAAAUAAUUUCAAAACAUUGUUUAAUUGAAUUCAAGUGAAUAUUUUGGCCUUUUGGCAAAUGUAAACCGAUAUAACUGGAACUCGUUGAAUUUCAGUUGGUGCUGAAUGUUUUUCUGAAACUGAAAGUGAAAACCUUGUCUAGCAUUGUGGCACAUCAUAUGAAUGAUUUUGUGUAUUGUUUUACUUGGUGGACUUCCUGGUGUUGCCUGCUGAAGCUACAUGGCUAUGUCCUGCAGCACAAUGCUUGGAACAAUUGUAAAAGGUCACUGCCAUUGUAUACACAAAUUUAUUCCCAUAUUCUGGACAUAUAAAGUACAGUGGCAUCAUUUCAUGAAUGUGGAACCAGAUUGCCCCAAACUGAUUUUUUCAUAAAUUUUAAUUUAUUGGUGUAAAAUAUGGAGUGCGUCAUUACUUUGUAAUAUCAGGUUUGUUCAUAUAAAUAUCUGACUCUGAUUUUACUUUGCCUUGCCAUUUCAACCUGUCUAGGCUGUGGAGCUCUAGAUGUAGAAGCUCCCCUACGCCCACCCUUUUAGGCGCAGCCGCUUGCCGCUGCAAACAUCAAUGAUUCCAGUGAUGACCAACUAUUUGGUGAAAUGUCAGAACAGCCGAAGGUUUAUUUUCCUUCCAAUCGGUCUGGAUAGACUGCGAUGUUAUUUUCCCAGAUUUGUGGUCUUCCAAAAACAACAGACUGUUCCUUAAACAGAUCAAAAGCAACUCCACAGCCAGGCUAAAUUUCUUAAGGAAUUUUAGUCGUAAACUACAUGUCGUGGUAAUUAGUUAUGUACUCUCUUUAUUUGGUUUAUCUUGGUCACAAUAUGUAGUGUUAGGUCUAGAAAGAUAUAUUGUAAGGGUGAGCAGUUUAUUGAAUGAUGAUGAUAUUCUCUUUUUUACAUAAAUUUGAGAUUUUUAUUAUGGUAAACAGAUCUCGUUUAUGAUGAAAGGUGAGAAUUUUACCAAUGGGUGAUGAAGAAACAUGCUUUACCAUAUCCUCUAAUCAGUUCUGGAGAUAUUGCUAUGCUCCAAAAGGAAGCUCCUGUCCUGGGCUACAACUUACUGGCACAUCCAGUUGAUGGUAAGCAUUAUUCAGUAAUGUUUACAGGGCAUAAUAUUUAGAUAGAUGGAUAAAUCUAAUUGUCACCACUCACCAAGUAUAGUCUUGUGAUUCUUCAAAAGCCAAAUGAUCUUUUCUGUGACCUUUGAAGCUCAGUUCCUGUCUUCGCAUCUCAGUUCAACGCUUAUGCGCUGAUCUACAUUGAUUACAGUUUUACUUGAUGAAUUAUAUUUGCAGUGUGAUCAAAAUAUAGAUAUAAUCAUACUGUUUGUGAUUUGUCUUCCUUCCUCAAAUAUGGAUCCUUGCAAAUACUUGGUCAUUAGAUGUUGUCUCUAUAGUUAUUUUUCUGUUCGAUGGAAUAAUUAGGGUACUAAAACAUUGAUUUCACUUAAAAUCCCUUGGCAUCUAUUUCCAUUCUGCCACAUCCAUUAACCGACUGCCGUAUAUUACAAUUGCACAAGGUUAGGGGUAUGCCUCAUCAAAUCGAGUUACGAAAUGCAGGGCAGGGUGACAGGAACCAACUGAAACAACUAAUAAAAACAUGACCAGUUUAGAACCUACUGACACCAUGGUAUUAACACAAGUACUUAUUACCAUUGUUGCACCUAUGCAUGCUUUUAAGUAUUAACCUCAACAUAUGUUUUGACCCUUCUACAGAACUGAUACUACAAACUCACGAUUAAAAUCGCUGUGGUAAAUCGACCUAUGACUGGUGGUAUAUGGGAUGCAAAGUUUGCUGGAAGAAGCUGAAAAUGGCACAUUGAAAUGUCCUACAUGUUCCAAUCCAGAACCAUGACCAAGGUAUUUUUUACCCAUGUUACAUCUCAAUUGGUAACUGUGUCACAAGCAAACAAUUCACCACAAUUCCAUCAUGUAAAUAG